UAGAGGGACAAGUGGCGUUUAGCCACACGAGAUGAUGCAAUAACAGGUCUGUGAUGCCCUUAGAUGUUCGGGGCCGCACGCGCGCUACACUGACCGGAUCAGCGUGUGCUCUCCUUGGCCGACAGGUCCGGGAAACCCGUUGAACCCCGGUCGUGCUAGGGAUAGGGAAUUGCAAUUAUUUCCCUUGAACGAGGAAUUCCCAGUAAGCGCGAGUCAUUAGCUCGCGUUGAUUACGUCCCUGCCCUUUGUACACACCGCCCGUCGCUACUACCGAUUGAAUGGUUUAGUGAGGUCCUCCGAUUGGACCCGGUCCGGGCGGCGACGUCCGAGCCGGCGUCCGAGAAGACGAUCUAACUUGAUCAUUUAGAGGAAGUAAAAGUCGUAACAAGGUUUCCGUAGGUGAACCUGCGGAAGGAUCAUUA
rnacentral:ncRNA from 1 species